rnacentral:tRNA from 1 species
CUAGCCAGAGAGGGACUCUCCCCUCCUUAAUGA